GAGGAAUAUUGGACAAUGGGUGGAAGCCUGAUCCAGCCAUCCCGCGUGAAGGAUGACGGUUCUAUGGAUUGUAAACUUCUUUUGUACAGGGAUAAACCUGCCCUCGUGAGGGCAGCUGAAGGUACUGUACGAAUAAGCACCGGCUAACUCCGUGCCAGCAGCCGCGGUAAUACGGAGGGUGCGAGCGUUAUCCGGAUUUAUUGGGUUUAAAGGGUCCGUAGGCGGGCCUGUAAGUCAGUGGUGAAAUCUCAUAGCUUAACUAUGAAACUGCCAUUGAUACUGCAGGCCUUGAGUAAAUUUGAAGUGGCUGGAAUAAGGAGUGUAGCGGUGAAAUGCAUAGAUAUUACUUAGAACACCGAUUGCGAAGGCAGGUCACUAAGAUUUAACUGACGCUGAUGGACGAAAGCGUGGGGAGCGAACG
rnacentral:rRNA from 1 species